rnacentral:rRNA from 1 species
UACUUGUUGGUGAGGUAAUGGCUCACCAAGGCGACGACGGGUAGCCGGCCUGAGAGGGCGACCGGCCACACUGGGACUGAGACACGGCCCAGACUCCUACGGGAGGCAGCAGUGGGGAAUAUUGCACAAUGGGCGAAAGCCUGAUGCAGCGACGCCGCGUGAGGGAUGACGGCCUUCGGGUUGUAAACCUCUUUCAGCAGGGAAGAAGCGAAAGUGACGGUACCUGCAGAAGAAGCGCCGGCUAACUACGUGCCAGCAGCCGCGGUAAUACGUAGGGCGCGAGCGUUGUCCGGAAUUAUUGGGCGUAAAGAGCUCGUAGGCGGCUUGUCACGUCGGUUGUGAAAGCCCGGGGCUUAACCCCGGGUCUGCAGUCGAUACGGGCAGGCUAGAGUUCGGUAGGGGAGAUCGGAAUUCCUGGUGUAGCGGUGAAAUGCGCAGAUAUCAGGAGGAACACCGGUGGCGAAGGCGGAUCUCUGGGCCGAUACUGACGCUGAGGAGCGAAAGCGUGGGGAGCGAACAGGAUUAGAUACCCUGGUAGUCCACGCCGUAAACGGUGGGCACUAGGUGUGGGCGACAUUCCACGUCGUCCGUGCCGCAGCUAACGCAUUAAGUGCCCCGCUG